CUUUGUUCGUAAUUAAUACUGAAAUUUUGAUUGCAGAUUUUGGUGAAAAUGCAAUAGGAAGAGUUGCUGCUAGCUCUUGUUAAUUCUGACAACCCUCCUGACCGUAAGAUGGAGAAGCAACUGAUCCUGCAAGCACGGAGGCGGCAGCAGCAACAACAAAUUCAGUAGUUACUGCCUAUAUCAGAACACAAGGUUAGCGAAGCUACUACGAACCACCACAUGCCGAGUCAUGCACCACGUCAUUCACUAUUAUAUCAGAGUAUGGUGAUAUGCACAUAGGUCAGUCAAGCUGGUUGUUCGAUAUAAGCAGAUGGCCGAUGGGAUGACUUCUUGGAUGCCACCAGUGUGGAUUGCAGCCUCCAGCUCCCUCAGAUGACUGGUGGUCAGACACCAGACAUGUAAAAGACACUCCAACAGGUUAUGGGAUAUUUUACCAGAUAGUAAAAUUUAAUCCACCAGAUCAAAGAUAUCAAGAUCAAGUACCAAAUCACCCAUCCAACGGACAAGGUUCAUUUGUCCUAUAUGAAUGGUAGAUUC